GUGUCUGUAGCUCAGCUGGAUAGAGCAUCGGCCUUCUAAGCCGAGGGUCCUGGGUUCGAAUCCCCGCAGGCACGCCA
rnacentral:tRNA from 1 species